CGGGCCGUAGCUCAGCGGUCGAGAGCGCCCGGCUGUAGAACGGGCGGUCCCGGGUUCGAAUCCCGGCGGCCCGA
rnacentral:tRNA from 1 species